rnacentral:rRNA from 1 species
GAAGCUUUACUGUAUCUUGGAAUUGGGUUUGGUCUUUACUUGCGCAGGAUAGGUGGGAGGCUUUGAAGAUGAUCUUGCGGGAUUGUUGGAGCCACUGGUGAGAUACCACUCUUGUAAUGAUAAAAUCCUAACUUUGAACCGUUAUCCGGUCAGAGAACAGUUUCAGGUGGCAGUUUGACUGGGGCGGUCGCCUCCUAAAAGGUAACGGAGGCGUGCAAAGGUUCCCUCAGGCUGGUUGGACAUCAGUCGCAGAGUGUAAAGGCAUAAGGGAGCUUGACUGCGAGACCAACAAGUCGAGCAGAGACGAAAGUCGGCCUUAGUGAUCCGGCGCUUCCGAGUGGAAGGGGCGUCGCUCAACGGAUAAAAGUUACUCUAGG